GCUGAACGCUGGCGGCGUGCCUAAUACAUGCAAGUCGAGCGAAGCGGGGACGGGUGAGUAUCACGUGGAUACCCCCCCAUAAGACUGGGAUAAAUUCGGGUAACCGGAGCUAAACCGGAAACUUAAAGCUGGCUCCGCGUUGCAUUAGCUAGUUGGGAAGGUAACGGCUUACCAAGGCAACGAUGCAUAGCCGACCUGAGAGGGUAAUGGGCCACGCUGGGACUGGGACACGGCCCGGACUCCUACGGGAGGCAGCAGGGGGGAAUCGUCCGCAAUGGGCGAAAGCCUGACGGGGCAACGCCGCGUGGGGGAUGAAGGUCUUCGGGUCGUAAGACUCUGUGAUUGGGGAAGCGGUACCUAAACAGAAAGCCACGGCUAACUACGUGCCAGCAGCCGCGGUAAUUC
rnacentral:rRNA from 1 species